GAGAGAGCUCAUUGUGCUGAGGCAAAAACAAAACUUAUCAAAGCAAGGGAAAAUAAAGGAAGAAAGGUGAGUAUGUAUUCAUUCGUUCUGUUAAGGGAAUUUAAAGAGAGAGAGAGAGAGAGAAACAACCGAGAGAGAGGGAGAGCGUGUAAAAGUUCUUGGAACUUAUUUGCUAGAAAUUGAGUAGGAAAGCUAUGGGGAAAGCUAGGGAAAAGUGGAGAACUGAAGAAAAGUUCAAGAAUUUGCCAAGAAAUUCAUCAAUUUGAAAACUUAAGGUCACGCGCCAUUGUCUGCCUGAUUUAUCUGAUAUGUCCAGUCCGUCUGCUUUGCUUCUGCGGCUACCUGUGAUCAGGCGCGUGACCAGGCUUAGAGGCAUCUGCCUAGAAUCUGUUUUUAUCAGCCAACCUAUAUGCCUUCCGUGGAUGUUCCGGACAUGUCAAGUGAUUAUCGCUAUGUGAUUUAAAGUUUAAAUUAUGUUUUCUUGUUUGGUUAAACAAGUCUUGUGUAUUUUGAAAAAUGGGCUAAGUCCUUUUGUCUGAUCUGUAUAUAUAUUAUGACGUAAGGAUGAUGUGUAUAUAUGUAUAUAAAAAAUUUUAAAA